CCUCAAUCCACCAAUGCCAAAGACAAUUUAGAAGAUUCCUAUACAUUACCUCAAAUCUUGGGGAAAGAGAUAUCUGCUGACCCAGGACAAACAUAGGUACUGGUGAUUUCCAUGGCUUACCCUGAUAUCUGCCCUGACAGCUAAAGAAUGAACCUAAGGGAUGAACUUACUUUACUGAAUACAUGCAAGGGAUGGUAGAAAGAUCAAUGAAGACAAUGGAACUCAGAACAAAUUUAUUGAUAAAUAAUAGCUGACUAGAUGACUGAUACUGGAAACACACUACCUUCUUGAUAAAGAG